rnacentral:rRNA from 1 species
AGUAGUUUGACUCCGUGGCUACGAGGACGAACGCUGGCGGCGUGCUUAACACAUGCAAGUCGAACGGGCACUUCGGUGCUAGUGGCGAACGGGUGAGUAAAGCGCAGGUAAUCUGCCGCAAAGUCGGGGACAACGUUCCGAAAGGGACGCUAAUACCGGAUGUUGUACAAGCUUCGCAUGGAGCUUGUACUAAAGAUUUAUCGCUUUGCGAGGAGCCUGCGUCCGAUUAGGCAGUUGGUGGGGUAAAAGCCUACCAAACCGACGAUCGGUAGCCGGUCUGAGAGGAUGAACGGUCACAAUGGAACUGAGACACGGUCCAUACUCC